rnacentral:ncRNA from 1 species
UUAAACACUAUGAUUAGGAGUAUUAAGGAUAAUUUAUUGUUAAGAGAGCUGUUGGUUGGUGUAAAGCAGUCAAUAAAUUCCUGAACUCACCUAGGAGUGGUAAGGCUGAGGUUGACUAAACCUAGGUUUUAACGGUUUACCCCGUAAUCGGUUUAGAGUGGGUUUGUUAUUUAAGUAUCAAACCAAAAAGAGUGGUACCACGAAGGUAAAACCUGUCGUCUCUUAU